UGGGGAAUAUUGGACAAUGGGCGCAAGCCUGAUCCAGCCAUGCCGCGUGUGUGAAGAAGGCCUUAUGGUUGUAAAGCACUUUAAGCGAGGAGGAGGCUACUUUAGUUAAUACCUAGAGAUAGUGGACGUUACUCGCAGAAUAAGCACCGGCUAACUCUGUGCCAGCAGCCGCGGUAAUACAGAGGGUGCGAGCGUUAAUCGGAUUUACUGGGCGUAAAGCGUGCGUAGGCGGCUAAUUGAGUCGGAUGUGAAAUCCCCGAGCUUAACUUGGGAAUUGCAUUCGAUACUGGUUAGCUAGAGUGUGGGAGAGGAUGGUAGAAUUCCAGGUGUAGCGGUGAAAUGCGUAGAGAUCUGGAGGAAUACCGAUGGCGAAGGCAGCCAUCUGGCCUAACACUGACGCUGAGGCACGAAAGCAUGGGGAGCAAACAGG
rnacentral:rRNA from 1 species